ensembl:lncRNA
GUCUCUUUUGGGUUCUCUGUGUAUUUGUGGUCUGCUGAAGGUUGUUGACAAGCUGAUCCCUUGAAGGAGCAGUCUGUGAAGGAAUCCAUUGGAAGAUGGUUGAGAAAUAUCACUGAAAUUAUCACCAUCAGUGCUCUUUUUCCUCAGUACUACUAUUUGUCUGCACUGUGGAUUUCAAUAUCACACCUGACAUGUUAGCAUGCAGAGUAAUGUCUCCAACCACAUGUUUUAGGUGUCUAUAUUAGCAAUUGAUGUGUGUGAAUAGUAAAUUAUUCUAUUCGUUUAUUAUUCCUGAUGACUAGUAAAUUAUUUUAAUGACAUUGACUAUUUUAUUUAUGCAUUACUUGAAAGUGAUUGGAAGUGAAUAGCUGUCAAAAAAAGCUUUGCAGCUGCAAAAAAUUACACUUCUACUUCUUAUUGUAUUCCCUUUACCCCCAAAUAGAUUUUACUAUUUCUAUCUUUCUGCCUGAUUCAGCCAGCUGCCACUCACUCAUUCACAGACAAUUAUAAUGCAUUCACAUCAUAUCCCAUCUGCUUGUGAUAGACUAUUGUUCUGUAGUGCAGUGUGUAGGGAAUAAUUUCUGAAUAUCCAUCUCCAGCUAAGAACUGUUCAUCCCUUGUCCUGUUGCCCCAACUGAAUGAAUUUUUGAUGUUCUGACUGGGUUGCUCUAAGAUGAGCUCGUCAUGAUCUCCAUAAUGCAUAUGUCUAAACUAAGUAUCUUAUUAAAUUUCUGCUCUUUCUUAAAAACUGAAUUAAUAAUGGUUUGGUUUAUUUUGUGGAACUUCUAACACUUUAGAUCAAGAAAUUGCUUUGUAAUGAGCAUGCUAUGUCAUUGAUAUAAUUACAUAAUAAAUGAUAAUUAAGAAUGCCUU